rnacentral:rRNA from 1 species
UACGUAGGGUGCGAGCGUUGUCCGGAAUUACUGGGCGUAAAGAGCUCGUAGGUGGUUUGUCGCGUUGUUCGUGAAAACUCACAGCUCAACUGUGGGCGUGCGGGCGAUACGGGCAGACUGGAGUACUGCAGGGGAGACUGGAAUUCCUGGUGUAGCGGUGGAAUGCGCAGAUAUCAGGAGGAACACCAGUGGCGAAGGCGGCGAUCUGGGAAGAUACUGACGCUGAGGUGCGAAAGCGUGGGGAGCAAACAGG